CUUUGACAUUUCAUAAAAAAAACAAAGACUUUAUUUACAACAAGGAGUUUAGGUUAAAAUUUAGUAAUUGUAUUGGAGUAAACUGGAGAACUCUUGGACGUUGGUUAAAUAUUAAUGACAGCUGUUUAGAUAUGAUAGACAAUGAUAAUCCCAAAACUGCAGACAAAGCAUAUUCAAUGUUAAAAACAUGGAUUCAAAUGAAUGUCAACCCUUCAUUGGAUGAUUUAAAAAUAGCUUUGAAAAAAAUGGAGAGGUUUGAUCUAAUAAGAGAAAUGGAGGAAUUAACAAGUUUCCAGACAAAGACAUUAUUUGCAACUGUGGAUCAUAUAAAGAUCCCAAUCAUGUGCUUCUUCUUCUGUAAUGGAUGUGUGGAGCAUGGCUGAAUGAGGCGUUGGAGUAUAAUAAGAGAAGAUUUAGAAUCUACAAAUAAUCCAAAGAAUUGUGCCAGUCCCUUUUCAA
rnacentral:lncRNA from 1 species